AGAGUUUGAUCCUGGCUCAGGACGAACGCUGGCGGUGUGCUUCACACAUGCAAGUCGAGCGGGUUUUAGUGGUAGCUUGCUAUCACUAAAAUUAGCGGCGGACGGGUGAGUAAUACAUAGGAAUCUGCCUCAAGGCGGGGGACAACGGGUCGAAAGAUCCGCUAAUACCCCAUAUGCGAGAAAUCGUGAAAGGAGUAAUCCGCCUAGAGAUGAGCCUGUGUCCGAUUAGCUAGUUGGCGGGGUAAUAGCCCACCAAGGCAACGAUCGGUAGUUGGUCUGAGAGGAUGAUCAGCCACAAUGGGACUGAGACACGGCCCAUACUCCUACGGGAGGCAGCAGUGGGGAAUUUUACGCAAUGGGGGAAACCCUGACGUAGCGACACCGCGUGAGCGAAGAAGCCUUUUGGGGUGUAAAGCUCUGUCAGCUGGAACGAAAACAAUGACGGUACCAGCAGAGGAAGCAUCGGCUAACUACGUGCCAGCAGCCGCGGUAAGACGUAGGAUGCAAGCGUUGUCCGGAUUCAUUGGGCGUAAAGAGUUCGUAGGUGGUUUGUUAAGUUUGGUGUUAAAGAACGGGGCCUAACCCCGGUAGUGCACUGAAUACUGGCAGACUUGAGUGCGGUAGAGGUAAGUGGAAUUCCAAGUGUAGCGGUGAAAUGCAUAGAUAUUUGGAAGAACACCGGUGGCGUAAGCGACUUACUGGGCCGUAACUGACACUGAGGAACGAAAGCCGGGGUAGCGAAUGGGAUUAGAUACCCCAGUAGUCCCGGCUGUAAACGAUGGAUACUAGGCGUUGUGGGUAUCGACCCCCGCAGUGCCGUAGCUAACGCGAUAAGUAUCCCGCCUGAGUAGUACGGCCGCAAGGUUGAAACUCAAAGGAAUUGACGG
rnacentral:rRNA from 1 species